AAAGCUGGGGGACUCCGGGAGCUCAGUCAGUCAGUUGUUGCAUCAAAGUCCGUCCCCAGCUUUUACUCAGCAGAUGUGUUGCUUUGGCGUUUACGCGGGGACUACGAACAACCUCACACAACUCUGGGAUAAACAGAAACUAUUUCAGAACUAGAAUGGAGGGGUGCGGGGAGACAGAAGAAAUGUUUUUUUAGAUUUCUUUCGUUGAGAGACACAGCUGUAGAGCAAGUGGGACGUGAACGGGUUGCCCUGGCUUAGAGAAGUGCGUGGAAAAAUCAGAGCGAGGCGAUUAGAGGCUGAGAGAGUAACUGGAGACGGUGCUCAAUCAAUGGGACUCUUCAGUCGCGAGAUUUACCACUUCAAUUACUAGGAGAGACCUCUGAUCAGUCACUAAAACUCAAGCAUCUUUGGUACGCCAGGUUUUGAAUGACGAUGAAACUGGGUGCACAUCUGAAUAUUGCCAAUUUGGCUGUGUUGUAUAAUCAUGCAAGAAUAUGGACAGAGACAUAUUUUAGAAACACAGGAACGCACAGGUAGGAUGAUACAUUUUUAGCAACCACUAAUAGGCGAAUACAGGAGUGCACACACUCGCAAGGAAAAUCACUAUAAUCACACGAAAACUGAAGUUGCCAGGUAAAUAUACUGAGCUGGACAUUCAUUCCCUUUGGAGAUGUAGAACCGGAGCUGGCCCACCGUUGUGUUUUUCAGGUGUAAUUUGCAUUCUGCAGUUUGUUCGGAUCAAUGUGACCUCAGUUUGCUUUG